GAUGAACGCUGGCAGCGUGCCUAAUACAUGCAAGUCGAGCGAACAGAUAAGGAGCUUGCUCCUUUGACGUUAGCGGCGGACGGGUGAGUAACACGUGGAUAACCUACCUAUAAGACUGGGAUAACUUCGGGAAACCGGAGCUAAUACCGGAUAACAUAUUGAACCGCAUGGUUCAAUAGUGAAAGGCGGCUUUGCUGUCACUUAUAGAUGGAUCCGCGCCGUAUUAGCUAGUUGGUAAGGUAACGGCUUACCAAGGCAACGAUACGUAGCCGACCUGAGAGGGUGAUCGGCCACACUGGAACUGAGACACGGUCCAGACUCCUACGGGAGGCAGCAGUAGGGAAUCUUCCGCAAUGGGCGAAAGCCUGACGGAGCAACGCCGCGUGAGUGAUGAAGGUCUUCGGAUCGUAAAACUCUGUUAUCAGGGAAGAACAAAUGUGUAAGUAACUGUGCACAUCUUGACGGUACCUGAUCAGAAAGCCACGGCUAACUACGUG
rnacentral:rRNA from 1 species